rnacentral:tRNA from 1 species
GGUGAGGUGGCUGAGCGGCUGAAGGCGCACGCCUGGAAAGUGUGUUUAGGUUAAUCCCUAACGAGGGUUCGAAUCCCUCCCUCACCGCCA